AGGCGAUCCCUUGUUUAUUGUCUGAUUAGUGCUAUCAGAUAGCAUUAGGCCAUCCAGUCAUAGGUUACUACUAUAUCUGGGUUAUUAUGCAGUGACUGGCUAGUUUGAUAGUAUUUGACAACACAUCUAGCCACUGACAAAGAGAGGCGGGACAAUGUGCACUUCCCUCUUCCUGCCACUGGCUCCUCCAUUUCCACUUCCUGUGCAAGUUGAGAGCAUGUCCGAGAGAGGGCAGCCACACACUCUUUGGGUCUCCUCGUCCACCUUUCCCCACUUUGGAAGUGACAGCUAAAGUCGAGGGUUGCAACGGUCAUGAGAAAU
rnacentral:lncRNA from 1 species